rnacentral:rRNA from 1 species
GACGACGCUGGCGGCGUGCCUCAAACAUGCAAGUCGAGCGAACGGAGACCGAACCGCAAGGGGAGGUCGAAGUUAGCGGCGAACGGGUGAGUAACACGUGGGCAAUCUGCCCUUAAGUUUGGGAUAACGGUCCGAAAGGGCCGCUAAUACCGGAUAAUGUCCUAAGGUCGCAUGACCAUAGGAAGAAAGCCGAAAGGCGCUUUUGGAUGAGCUCGCGACCCAUCAGCUAGUUGGUAAGGUAACGGCUUACCAAGGCGACGACGGGUAGCCGGUCUGAGAGGAUGAUCCGCCACACUGGAACUGAGACACGGUCCAGACUCCUACGGGAGGCAGCAGUGGGGAAUUUUGGACAAUGGGGGCAACCCUGAUCCAGCCAUGCCGCGUGAGUGAAGAAAGGCCUUCGGGUUGUAAAGCUCUUUCGGCCGGGAAGAAAUCGCAUGGGUUAAUACCCUGUGCGGAUGACGGUACCGGCAUAAGAAGCACCGGCUAACUACGUG